rnacentral:rRNA from 1 species
GACGAACGCUGGCGGCGUGCUUAACACAUGCAAGUCGAGCGGUAAGGCCCUUUCGGGGGUACACGAGCGGCGAACGGGUGAGUAACACGUGGGUGACCUGCCCUCAGCUCUGGGAUAAGCCUGGGAAACCGGGUCUAAUACCGGAUAUGACUCCAUGACGCAUGUUGUGGGGUGGAAAGCCUUGUGCGGCUGAGGAUGGGCCCGCGGCCUAUCAGCUUGUUGGUGGGGUGAUGGCCUACCAAGGCGACGACGGGUAGCCGGCCUGAGAGGGCGACCGGCCACACUGGGACUGAGACACGGCCCAGACUCCUACGGGAGGCAGCAGUGGGGAAUAUUGGACAAUGGGCGCAAGCCUGAUCCAGCCCACGCCGCGUGAGUGAUGAAGGCCU